AACUCUUACCAGUGGAUCACUUGGCUCAUGCGUCAAUGAAGAAUGAAGCUACCUGCGAGAAUUAAUGUGAAUUGCAGGACACAUUGAUGAUUGACACUCCAAAUGCACUUGUGGCCUUAGGUUCCUACCAGGGCUUCACUUGUCUGAGCAUCA
rfam:Alligator sinensis unplaced genomic scaffold scaffold332_1, whole genome shotgun sequence